UACAGAGGUCUCAAGCGUUGUUCGGAUUCAUUGGGCGUAAAGGGUGCGUAGGCGGCGCGGUAAGUCGGGUGUGAAAUCUUGGAGCUUAACUCCGAAAACUGCAUUCGAUACUGCCGUGCUUGAGGACUGGAGAGGAGACUGGAAUUUACGGUGUAGCGGUGAAAAUGCGUAGAUAUCGUAAGGAAGACCAGUGGCGAAGGCGGGUCUCUGGACAGUUCCUGACGCUGAGGCACGAAGGCCAGGGGGAGCAAACGGG
rnacentral:rRNA from 1 species